rnacentral:rRNA from 1 species
GUGUCAGCAGCCGCGGUAAUACGGAGGGUCCAAGCGUUAUCCGGAAUCAUUGGGUUUAAAGGGUCCGUAGGCGGGCUAUUAAGUCAGGGGUGAAAGUUUGCAGCUCAACUGUAAAAUUGCCUUUGAUACUGGUAGUCUUGAAUUGUAGUGAAGUGGUUAGAAUAUGUGGUGUAGCGGUGAAAUGCAUAGAUAUCACAUAGAAUACCGAUUGCGAAGGCAGAUCACUAACUAUAUAUUGACGCUGAGGGACGAAAGCGUGGGGAGCGAACGGGAUUAGAUACCCCGGUAGUCCACGCCGUAAACGAUGGAUACUAGCUGUUGGAUUUUUUCAGUGGCUAAGCGAAAGUGAUAAGUAUCCCACCUGGGGAGUACGUUCGCAAGAAUGAAACUUAAAUGAAUUGACGGGG